GCCUUCGUGGUGUAGUGGUCAGCACGCUCGACGCGUAUUCGAGAGGUCCGUGGUUCGACUCCCGGCGAGGGCA
rnacentral:tRNA from 1 species